rnacentral:lncRNA from 1 species
CCCAGUCACAACGAGCGACCGCGCGCUCGAUAGGCGCGCGCGCCCUGAUGUCCCGUUUCUCGCGGACAGUGCCGUUGCGUUUCGGCGAUCCCACCACCGGCAGCAGUGCCGUCAGUGCUCUCCGUAGAGGCACCCGUGCGUUUUCGCUUUGCUUGACCGGGUUCCGGAGCCGGCAGGAGGUCGCGGCUCGUUCGGUAACCCCGCCGAGAUCUGGAGCCGUAUAAACGCGGUCCCUGGAGUGAUAAGAAAACAUCUACGCCCAGUGAUAUAUAUUCUACGGCACAUACCAUUACCGUGUGUACGUGACAAGAAGUCGUUUAUGAUCGAACCGCACGGAGCUGUACGGGGAGUAUACAGAGAGAGAGACAGAGAGAUAGAAAGAGAGAAAAAUAGAAAUAGAGAUAGAUAGAGAGAGAGAGAGGAAGAGAGAAAGUGGACGUGACGCGGUUCUUUAUCGAGAAAGAAUAAAAUCGCAAUGAGAUGAAAUACAUAAUAUAGAAAUAAAGAAAAAAGAAGGAAAGGAAAAACCAAAGGAAAAGUGUGAAACGUGCAUUAUGGUGUUCUGUUGAAAAUUUUCGACUGGUGCAGUUUAAAUUUUUAAUACACCGACUUACCUUAUACCUUUACCUCCUUACAUAGACAGAAAACUCAAUAGCUGUGGUCCUCGAGUGAAUUAUCAUUUUGAUUUUCCCUUCGGUAUUUGUGUAUGUGAAUAUAAAAAACAAAGAAACUACAUUUACGUUACACCGCGUUGUGUCUCCGUAUAAUAUGUAACGUAACGUUUGAAUAACGCAAUUGAAACGAAGAAAGUGAGUGAAAAAGAUUGACAAAAAAUUAAAGUAAUAAAUAUUAUACGACGGUGACAAGAAACAAAGAAAGGAAUAUAUUAAUAGUAAAAAGCAAUUUAAAUGAAAUUAGGAAACGGGACGAAUACUAAACAAACAAGCUAGUAUAAAAUUGAUUGAAACAUAAACAAAAAAAAAUUUACCGAGUCACGUUGAAUAAUGUAAAAAUAAAAUAAAAAAAAAAAAAAAAGAAAAAGAAAGCAAACGUGCGGCUAAUAUUGUAUAGAAUUAGCACAGAUUAUAAAUAAUAUUGAGCUGCUUCGCGAACAAGUAUAAAAAAACAUUUCGUUUGUGAAGUGAUGGAAUGAAAAAAAAAAAAAAAAAUUUGUCUACGACUUGUCCUGUAAAGGCAACGU